rnacentral:rRNA from 1 species
UACGAAGGGGGCUAGCGUUGCUCGGAAUCACUGGGCGUAAAGCGCACGUAGGCGGAUCCUUAAGUCGGGGGUGAAAUCCUGGAGCUCAACUCCAGAACUGCCUUCGAUACUGAGGAUCUCGAGUCCGGGAGAGGUGAGUGGAACUGCGAGUGUAGAGGUGAAAUUCGUAGAUAUUCGCAAGAACACCAGUGGCGAAGGCGGCUCACUGGCCCGGUACUGACGCUGAGGCGCGAAAGCGUGGGGGAGCAAACAGG